rnacentral:lncRNA from 12 species
AAAUUCAUUGACUAUUUUUUUUUUUAGUGGAUCAAACAGAGAAGGGCACGAUUAAUACUUGUCAAAAUGCAAGUACAGUUGGAGUUGGAUGUGACUUACAUCAAUAGGAUUGGGAGACUCAAGCAGAGCCUGGAAGUCAGCUUAGUCAACACUGCAAUGACAGAAAUUUCAAGCAACAGUUCACGGAAAGCAUGUGGAGACCAGCCUGGGAAUUUUGC